GACGAACGCUGGCGGCGUGCUUAACACAUGCAAGUCGAACGAAAAGAGGGAAAGAGCUUGCUCUUUCCGGAAUUGAGUGGCAAACGGGUGAGUAACACGUAAACAACCUGCCUUCAGGAUGGGGACAACAGACGGAAACGACUGCUAAUACCGAAUAAGUUCCAAGGGCCGCAUGGCCCAUGGAAGAAAAGGUGGCCUCUACCUGUAAGCUAUCGCCUGAAGAGGGGUUUGCGUCUGAUUAGCUGGUUGGAGGGGUAACGGCCCACCAAGGCGACGAUCAGUAGCCGGUCUGAGAGGAUGAACGGCCACACUGGAACUGAGACACGGUCCAGACUCCUACGGGAGGCAGCAGUGGGGAAUCUUCCGCAAUGGGCGAAAGCCUGACGGAGCAACGCCGCGUGAGUGAUGACGGCCUUCGGGUUGUAAAACUCUGUGAUCCGGGACGAAAAGGCAGAGUGCGAAGAACAAACUGCAUUGACGGUACCGGAAAAGCAAGCCACGGCUAACUACGU
rnacentral:rRNA from 1 species